GACGAACGCUGGCGGCGCGCCUAACACAUGCAAGUCGAACGGGAGAUUUCCUUCGGGAAAGAUCUAGUGGCGGACGGGUGAGUAACACGUGAGCAAUCUGCCUUUGGGAGGGGGAUAACGUCUGGAAACGGACGCUAAUACCGCAUAAUGUAUGGUUUUCGCAUGGGAAGCAUACCAAAGAUUUAUCGCCCAAAGAUGAGCUCGCGGCUGAUUAGCUAGUUGGCGGGGUAAAGGCCCACCAAGGCGACGAUCAGUAGCCGGACUGAGAGGUUGAACGGCCACAUUGGGACUGAGACACGGCCCAG
rnacentral:rRNA from 1 species